rnacentral:rRNA from 1 species
UACGGGGGGGGUAAGCGUUGUUCGGAAUUACUGGGCGUAAAGGGCUCGUAGGCGGCCAACUAAGUCAGACGUGAAAUCCCUCGGCUUAACCGGGGAACGGCCUCUGAUACUGGCUGGCUGGAGUUCGGGAGAGGGAUGCGGAAUUCCAGGUGUAGCGGUGAAAUGCGUAGAUAUCUGGAGGAACACCGGUGGCGAAGGCGGCAUCCUGGACCGACACUGACGCUGAGGAGCGAAAGCCAGGGGAGCAAACGGG